UACGUAGGGAGCAAGCGUUGUCCGGAAUCAUUGGGCGUAAAGCGCGCGUAGGCGGCCUCGUAAGUCCGUUGUGAAAACUCGAGGCUCAACCUCGAGACGCCGGUGGAAACCGUAAAGCUAGAGUCCGGAAGAGGAGAGUGGAAUUCCUGGUGUAGCGGUGAAAUGCGCAGAUAUCGGGAAGAACACCCGUGGCGAAGGCGGCUCUCUGGGACGGUACUGACGCUGAGACGCGAAAGCGUGGGGAGCGAACAGG
rnacentral:rRNA from 1 species